UUAUUCUCAGGGUCGCUCCUGGAGAGUUGCCAGUACUCUACCAGUCUCGGCUAUAGGAGGGAGGGUCAAGCAGAGGCAUGCCCAUUCCAUUCCCAGCUUGGCCAGUGGCUAGCCAGUGGAAGACAAUCUGCAACAAGU